GAGGGUACAGCUCAGUGGUAGAGCGCCUGCUUAGCAUGCAUGAGGUCCUGAGUUCAAUCCCCAGUACUGCCA
rnacentral:tRNA from 1 species